rnacentral:rRNA from 1 species
UACGGGGGGGGCAAGCGUUGUUCGGAAUUACUGGGCGUAAAGGGCUCGUAGGCGGCCAACUAAGUCAGACGUGAAAUCCCCAGGCUCAACCUGGGAACUGCGUCUGAUACUGGAUGGCUUGAAUUCGGGAGAGGGAUGCAGAAUUCCAGGUGUAGCGGUGAAAUGCGUAGAUAUCUGGAGGAAUACCGGUGGCGAAGGCGGCAUCCUGGACCGGCAUUGACGCUGAGUGAGCGAAAGCCAGGGGAGCAAACGGG